rnacentral:rRNA from 1 species
AGGACGAACGCUGGCGGCGUGCCUAAUACAUGCAAGUCGAGCGCGGGAAGCAAACUGAAGCCUUCGGGCGGACGUUGUGGAACGAGCGGCGGAUGGGUGAGUAACACGUGGGCAACCUGCCUGUAAGAUUGGGAUAACUUGCGGAAACGUGAGCUAAUACCAAAUAAAGCUUUUCAUCCCCUGAUGAGAAGAUGAAAGAUGGCUCCGGCUAUCACUUACAGAUGGGCCCGUGGCGCAUUAGCUAGUUGGUGGGAUAAAAGCUUACCAAGGCAACGAUGCGUAGCCGACCUGAGAGGGUGAUCGGCCACACUGGGACUGAGACACGGCCCAGACUCCUACGGGAGGCAGCAGUAGGGAAUCUUCCGCAAUGGACGCAAGUCUGACGGAGCCAACGCCGCGUGAGUGAUGAAGGUUUUCGGAUCGUAAAACUCUGUUGUUAGGGAAGAACAAGUACCGUUCGAAUAGGUCGGUACCUUGACGGUACCUAACCAGAAAGCCCCGGCUAACUACGUGCCAGCCGCUGC